UACAGAGGGUGCGAGCGUUAAUCGGAAUUACUGGGCGUAAAGGGUGCGUAGGUGGUUUGGUAAGUUAGAUGUGAAAUUCCUGGGCUUAACCUGGGGACUGCGUCUGAUACUGCUAGGCUAGAGUACUGUAGAGGGAAGUGGAAUUUCCGGUGUAGCAGUGAAAUGCGUAGAUAUUGGGAAGAACACCGGUGGCGAAGGCGGCUCUCUGGACCGAGACUGACGCUGAGGCGCGAAAGCGUGGGGAGCAAACAGG
rnacentral:rRNA from 1 species